GCAGCGGUGCCAAAGUGGGCAGGCAGACGGAGGCAAACACAAGCACGGGCCAGUGCAGAGCGCCGAUCCAAAGGCUUGCGACUUGAUAACGUGGAUGUUUACAACUCGCAUCGGUUGUGUCGCUGUCUCCGUUUGGGUUCCUUUUGUUGAUUUUUUUUCGUGCCGUUACUCGGUGAGUUUGUUUUGGCACCCUCCUCGGUUUCUCGCGUGAGCUGCAGUCGCCGGUGCCGGUUUCAGAUGUGUGUUUGUGGGGCUGUGUGUCACCCUGUGCACGAACAGACGCUCUCGCGUCAGUAGGAGGGGAUUGUGGGAAAAAAAGGGGCGUAGCUCUCAGAGGGUGUGCUCCACUCCUCUCUUUUCCCUUCUUCCCGCCAUCAUGGCCCUCUUCUCCUCCAGUCCUCUGGCCCAGGCCGCCGCUCACGUAUCGUGCUUCAGGAGCGUGACCUUGAUGGCUCCACCGAGCGAGGCAACAUGAAUGCUGCCCUUGGGCCUGAGGUAGUAGAUUGAAUAGUUGUGAGGGUUGUGUAGCCUCUUUUCCAGAUAACUAUACAAUCUACUGUCUUUCCCAAGGAGACAGCUUACUCAGCCAGUCAUCGCCCAGGCGACAAUUGCGCUUUGCACAUGCGGGCAAGCACGCAGAGAUUGCUGCGAGCGUUUCUGCGUUCGCUUUCCAAGAGGUGUAUUAGGUUACUUGACAGGUGGAUGCGCAUUUGAAUCGGGCUUUGUCAGGGUGAGGUAGUAGGUUGUAUAGUUUGGUGGGUGGGUCUGCACCCUGCUCAGGUGAUAACUAUACAGUCUAUUGCCUUCCUUGAGAAGCUCACCGACAACCAACCGAUUACAGCACUGGUUGCCUGCAACCUUUUAUGGAGCCGCGUCACAUAUUUAACAAAAAAUACAUAAAAAAUCUCAUCGAACACCGCCAAACAAAACUCUCACAGGAUGUAUGUUUUACGAUGAUUUCAUCUUAAUUUACUGAACACAAAGUUAUUAUUCUGUUGUACGCAUGGCAACAAGUGGAUACAUAGGUUCAUUGUGCCUACUGCCAUCCAUUUUAUGGUUAUGCCUGUCACUGUACGCCGGUGGCAUAGGUAGAUAAACAAAAUUAACUCGAGAACUGGUGCAUAAAUAAUAAUUUCCGGACCAAUUAAGUGAAAUUGGAUCAUUUGCCAUGGCAUACCUGAUGAUCUCUCACGGCGCAAUGGUUUCGAAAUCACAGUACAGUAUUGAACGACACAUCGAUCACAGUGUUCACGUCAUUGCAUGUGUCAUGUGACUAACUUGCAGUUUGUAAAUGAUAAUAAAGUUUUUCAAGUGAGUCGACCUAUCUUUCCUCUGCGUGAGUGUGUAUACCAAAGACAUAGAGUGUAACACAGACGCCUCGUUAAAUUGGUCGGCCCUUUACCGCUAUACGUCCGGCAAGUAAACGGACCGAACUUCAAUUAGUGCCAACUUACAAAGUGAGCAAAGUUAAUGGCUCUCAUUCACAGACACAAAUUUUUUAGAAACAGGCACCACAAACAAUACAUGUACCUUUUCAUAUGAUUAUUGUUUACAUGUAUUUACUCAUAGAUGUAGGGACCAAACCAACAUAUGCAGUUUUUUUAAUCAUUUAAAAAAUAUAUAUUAUUGUUGUUUACAGCCAACAAUGCAUGUAACACUGUUAUUGUGAUGAUAAAUAUUGUAAUAUUAAUACUUAACAUUCAAUCUGUGUCUAUAUUUGCCAGAACCUGAAAUAUAAAUGUUACCUGCGCUGUCUCCUGUUAUGGGCUUUCUACUUAAAUAGCACUAACGUUUAUAUUGAACAGAUUAUAACUAAACGUUUUGCAAUUCAGUGAUUUAUAUUGAUUUGACUAUUACUACUAAUGGCAAUCACUGGAGACAGACUAGCAAAAAUCCACACUGACUGACUCAGCCCUUCAUCGUUGGGAAAGCUACAUACCAUGACAAAAGUCAGCUAAACCACCAACGACAAUCGGACGAGUUAAAAUAGCGAACUAAGAAAGACUGUCAUCCGGGGAAUUCACAGCUAAUUCAAUUUGCAAAGUUAUGUUUGCGAUGACAAACAGUAAAAUAGAACGCAAAGUCGUGGCUCACUCUUACCUGGGAAAGGUAACCCCAUGAGGGCUAGCUUUGAACGGAAAACAGCAAAUGGAGGCGGCCUCCUCCUCAUCGAUCGCGCCACCUUUCCACAUCCAACAUGGCGACGAUGUUGACGUAGCAGUUAGCGCUCAUGGUGCUGUUUGGGUAUUCUGCAUGUAUAUGGCGGCGGCUUUCCAAUAGGCUCGGCAGUCUUGGACGCCCUCUGGUGGGGAAGAUUCCGAUGUUCACACUCUCUAUUUAAUUCGUUUACAGCCUUGUAUGCGUUUGUGUCCCAACGAAAACAACAACAACAGCGCGUCUGCCUCCCCUUCUUGCAAUUUGGCAGUAUAAAUUGGCACUUUGGCAUUUGUUUCCUCCCACAGGACGACAGGUUGACCAGAAUUAACCGCAGCACCCAAAGACAAAUUUAAAGGGCCACGGAGAUUUAUAUAUUUUCAACCCCAAACUGAGUCAAAGGUCCACUUAUUGAGGUCGCUGAGGCGAUGUGCUAUCUGUAAUAUUCAAAACAAAAUCUCCUUUUCAUUCAAAACAACAACAAGAAAAAUGAACUGAAAUAAAUGGAAUAGGCUCCAGCAUGCCUACAACCCUAGUGAGGAUAAGCAGUAUGGAAAAUGGAUGGAUGAUUAAAUAUAAAACUGAGAAGGGGGAUUUGCUUAAUUUUAGCUGUCACUUCCGCCCCCAAAAGAAGCCACGCCCCCUCCGAAUUGGCACUCUGUUGCUUUCUAUUGUUGUGUCAUAGAGAUGUGACCAAGAAUUCUGCUUGCGGCUCGCUAUGACCAUUUCAGUGCAUUGAUUUUUGCUGUUUGUGCCUGAGAAUUGUAUAUAAAGCUCUCUUCAGAAUAUGAAUGAAAAUGUGUGACUGUGUAUAUGCAUAAUAAACAUAUGGAAUUCACAAAGAGGUCCGUAGAUAUUGGAUAGCAAUUUUGUCCCCCCCCCCACAUUGAAUAACUUCAUUUAUUGUUCUUAAAUAGUGAUAAUUUAUCUUUUUAUGAACAAAUAAAGGGAAUAUUUAACAUCAAUAACGUCCGUUAAAUUAAAUUCUUUAUGAAAAUGCAUAAUCAACAAAACUAUGGCAUAAUUAUCGUGCAUGUAGAACAGUACUGAGAUUGAUUAGAUUGUGCAGAUGUUCCGGAUCGCACGGCCAGCGAGUGUAAGUUGCUGCUGCAUAAUGACAACGGGGAUCCACAAAACUCAAGCACGGACAAGCUAUUGCCAAAAUACAUGAAUAUUCUGGUUGAAAUUUGGAAAAAGCUCAAUCUCAGCGCAUCGGAUCGGCAAAAAGAUAAACGGAACAAAUAAACGCUCUUGUGACAAACGUCCGUGUUACAGCACCAGAAAGACAGGAAACCCAAUAUUUAUCAGGAGAUUCCACUUAUAAAGCAGAUAUUGGAAGACAAUCUAUCAGAUUUACAUUAGGUUUCAUUGUGCCAGACUUGUCUCUGCCUGCCAAAUACUCAGUAUUCAUAUCUCGCUUCUUGUGUCAUUUUCAUCCUAGACGCCGUUGCUGUCUCCCCGGAGGCUUCUCAGUGUCUUCUCAUCAAACCGAUAGGUGCUCUUUGUUUUGGGAGGAGAACUGAAAUGUGCCCGAGGAGGACUGGACCCACCAGAUGCAGCUUCGCAUAGACGGCGUUUGCAGCAUCUCAAACAGGAACUGGAACAAGCGCUCCUUCCUCUUUCCUGUCAAAGAGGAAGCGGGUGUGAAUAAAAUCACGACGGGGACAAUGAGGAUGACUAAAUCAAAGCUUCACAGACAAAAUGGAGGGGGUUGCACCAGUGAAGUGCUUGUACCUGAGAUUGGAGCAAGAAGUGAAGCGUCUUUGUCGGGUCUGCCUCGGCUCGCCGAGGUCGGAGAAGGAGCCUCGCGGUAUUCCUGGCACCGGGAACUACUGGACUGAGAGUCUGAGUCGAUACAUACGUUCGCCUUGUCCGAAGACGCAACGUAAUCCUAAGAGCACAUUUGUGCAAUCACAAGUCAGUGGUGUUUUGUUGUUUGCCGCUGUUGUUGUUUGUUCAGUAGCAUAUCAUUGGCAGCAAUGAUGCAUUACCAGAGGCUUCAAUGAAGUGAAAUUACGUUACCUUUAACGGGGGAUGCCCGUCAAGUCCAUUUCAUUUAUGUGGCACUAAUUCACAACAGAAGUUCUCUCAAGGCGCUUUAUACAUUGAGCAGCUCAAGAACCAUCGGUGCUAUAUUUAUCGAAAUACCACGGACUUCCGAUCAGAUCAGGCUGUUAUGAGCGCGACCCGACUCGACUUCCUGAUCGCACUUAACCUCCGUUCAGCUCUUAAGAUCGAAGGCCGUUCCGUGAAAUGUUGCAGGCGGCCGACGUUUACUACGCGGUGGCUUUGUGAGACUUUCACCUUACCCACUGGUCGUGAUGCGGCCAGGACGGAGGUGCAGCUUCCGCCUCGUGCUCCUUAUUAGGAGCACCGCAGUGCCACUCGUAGGCGUGUUGGCCUGACCAGCUGUUCUCUAGGAGGGGCAAGAAGACGAAGCUCCGCUGACAUACUGCGCUGGACGUUUCACGUUCAUGUGGCUCGGGGCGUGCUGACCUAUGAUCCUGGUGCUGUGGUGGGAGUGCACGUACUGCACCGCGUUGGUCAGAGGCAAGGUGUGCGUGUGCGCGGGCUGGACCUCCAGCGAAUGCUCCUGCAGAUACUCCUCGAUGACCUCCAGGUCCACCUCCGGGCAGGACGAGGGCGCCGCUCCGCCCCACGACCCCCGACCUGCACCGAGCCUGAGCUCGGUCACGUAAGCCAUCUGCCAGGCACAAAAAGUGGCCCGGUGAAACUAAAACUGACAGUGAGCUUUAUAGUGGCACUUCCUUGCAUAUGGCUGAAAUCAUUGAAGAAAAUAGUACAGAGCGUGGAAGCCAUAUCAGUCAUUAUGCAUUGCGCUUUGUUAAUAUGACACGAGCGACGAGUUUAAUCAUUCAUCUGGACAGAGACUGUGGAGCAACUUUAAGGGCUACAUAUCAUGUCCCACGCUAUACUUGCACUACGCCAUCCACAGCGGGAAGUAACAAACACUUUGUUACAGUACUGAAGUACAUUUUUCAGCUAUCUAUAAUUUACUUGUGUAUUUCUCUCUCUCUCUCUUCCCCCUCCCUCCCCCACCCCCACCCCCACCCCUAACCUCUACUCCCUACAUUGGAUUUUUUGUUAUUCCUUUGUAAUGCAAUUGAGAUCGGUUUCUCUUUCGCUGCUCAGCCAAAGCAGCGCGCUUGACUUUUUUGCCUCCUUACAUUCUCAAAAUAUGCUUGUCACCUCGUUCUCACCUCGCAGAUGACAACGUGACCAGGGAGAAUGAAUAGCGACGAUGCGACAAAACCUUUAUAUUUCAGUGUCAUUUUUUUUUUUUAACGAUGUAAAGGAGUUGAAUCAGUACUUCUACUUCGACCAGAGUAUUUUUCCCCCCUGUACUGCCCACAUGUAGUAGUGAGCGUGCAUCUCAUCAACCUGCUCCAAGGUUUUGUUUGCUUCGUUGGCAGCCAGAAACACUGCAACCAUGUGUAUUUUAAUUUGACUAUCAAAUCUAUGCAAGUUUUUUUUUUUGCUCCACCAACCAGGAAACAUUCAGGUAACUGUGUUUGUAACUGAUGCUCUUUAAAAUAUGUACAGUAUAUGAUAUCGAGUUACUGUACAGUCCACGAUAUGAACGUUGCCGAGAACUUUUUUUUUUUGGUCUACUCGUAAGGUGACUUGCAAACAACAUGCAUUUAAAAAAAAUAAAAAAUAAAUAAAUAAAUAACUUACUGCCUCCAUUCCAGCCAACACAAUUUUAGUCUGGAAAGAGAAACCGGGAGGGAAAGUUGCCACAUUAAAAUUGUAACGGAUCGACGGCGAUAUCAGCGCAAAGUGCCAUACCUGAUCACACUCGAGAUGUGUCCUCCUCUGAUGUGUUCUCCUCAGUUAUCAAAAAAAUAAAAUAAAAGUCAAGCCGUCACCUGAAGGAUGCCCCACCUGAGCAUGACCUCUCUUAUAGCCUUGCUAGACACAUCCUCCUCCUGUUCAUCCCCUCUGGCCAAUCCCAUUUGGUCAAAAAGUAUACACGUGGGAGGGUUUUGACUAAUUAAGUCAUUAGGAUGUUAGUGCCCACUAACUUCACACUGAGGUAAAAUGAAUGCUAGAUUGUUUGUUUGUUUGCAAUAUUUUGCAUUAAAAAAAAAAACGGAUGAGCCACACUAUUAGACAGCCCUACGCACUGUAAUGACAUCUAGUGGCUCUCUAAGUCGCGAUCCAAAAUACAGUAUUAGAAAUGCCUGAACAAAUACUAUCUUAAUGAAAUGAACACCUCUGUGCCAAAAAAAAAAAAAAAAAAAAAAAAAAAAAUGGUGUGUACUGUUAUGUCAGUAAAGUCAUAAUACAGUAUACGUGACUAUUAUAUUUAUUCAACUAAAAAUGAAUGGCGGGUAUUGUUAUGUUCCUAAAGUUUUUGAUACAGUAUUCAGCUCUCGUAAAACACGUGGACCUAAUAAUAAGAAAAAUAGGUAAGCUUUUUCCCACCUCUCGUGGGUGUAGAUUCGAUUCGAUUCGAUUAAAUAGAUCGGGCCUUCCUGUGUAGAGUUCGCGUGUUGUCCCGUUGCUGGCGAAGGUUUCCUCUGGGUAUUCCGGCUUCCUCCAAAUCACGCCAGUGAGCAUCACUGACGACUUCGAAUUGCGCAUAGGCGAAUGCGCCGCUUGUACGUCUGCCGGCGAUUGACAGGUGACCGGUUGAGGGCGUACCUCGCUUCUCGCCCAAAAAUCGGCUGUGAUAGGCUCCAGCUCGCUCGUCACCCUGAACAAACUAGAAAAUGGAAGGAUGGAUUUUACAGACCGGUUGACUUUUGGGUGUGCUAUCAAGGGAUUUCCCCGAUCUGCUUCACAUUUGAAGUCGUCGCCAUAUCCCAACAUUGACCAGAGGGAUCGAGCUUGAGGCCAAUAAUUCACAAUGUUUUGUUUUUGUUUUGUUUUUUAAACCAAUCCACAGUUAGCCCAGUUCAAAUCAAAACUGCUGGACUACAAGUUCAUAGUCAUAGCAGUUCUACUGUCACGCAGAGCUGGCCCAAGGGAACGACAGUACUGUUGGCAUCUCAUCUGCUACAUUUGUACAUAAGUUUAAGACUUAUUUACUCAACUUUAUAUUUGUUUUUAAAACCAUUUUUGUCACCUUGUUUAAAGUCCCUCUGCUCAAUUAUGUCAUUCAGUAUUUGCUUGCCAUUUUAUUGUUUAUUUAAUACUCUUAGUCUCCUUUCCUCUUGAUACUCGUUUUUGGAGCUUUAAGGUAUUUUCAAAUGUCAUUUUUUUUAUUUUUUAUUUCAUAUAUAUUUUUGCACAUCACUGGUGUA